UAAGGAAUAUUGGUCAAUGGACGCAAGUCUGAACCAGCCAUGCCGCGUGCAGGAUGACGGCCCUACGGGUUGUAAACUGCUUUUAUACGGGAAAAAACCCUUGCUCGUGAGCGAGGUUGAUGGUACUGUAAGAAUAAGGAUCGGCUAACUCCGUGCCAGCAGCCGCGGUAAUACGGAGGAUCCAAGCGUUAUCCGGAUUUAUUGGGUUUAAAGGGUGCGUAGGCGGGAUAAUAAGUCAGUGGUGAAAGCU
rnacentral:rRNA from 1 species